rnacentral:rRNA from 1 species
CCUACGGGUGGCAGCAGUGAGGAAUAUUGGUCAAUGGGCGGGAGCCUGAACCAGCCAAGCCGCGUGAAGGAAGAAGGCGCCAGGCGUCGUAAACUUCUUUUGUCGGGGAACAAAGGGCGCCACGUGUGGCGUUGUGAGUGUACCCGAAGAAAAAGCAUCGGCUAACUCCGUGCCAGCAGCCGCGGUAAUACGGAGGAUGCGAGCGUUAUCCGGAUUUAUUGGGUUUAAAGGGUGCGUAGGCGGUCCGGAAAGUCAGCGGUAAAAGCCCGGGGCUCAACCCCGGCGAGCCGUUGAAACUGUCGGACUAGAGACGGCGAGAAGUACGCGGAAUGCGCGGUGUAGCGGUGAAAUGCUUAGAGAUCAUACAGAACACCGAUUGCGAAGGCAGCUUACCAAGCUACUUCUGACGUUGAGGCACGAAAGCGUGGGGAGCAAACAGGAUUAGAUACCCCAGUAGUC